rnacentral:lncRNA from 1 species
UUAAAUUUAUACGAUAAUUACGCCUCAAAUCACACCCUCCGCAUAAAUCAUUAUAAUUACAUAAUCGAGGUUAGUGAAUUAUUACUCGGUAUAUUCAAACACAUAUCAAAACGAAUCCGCAUUUAAAACAAAAAAAUGUAAAGCAAACCCGUCCUUCAGAUGCAUAAAUAUAUAUUAUUCCGGUGACGUUUCCAUUGGUGAUUGGUGUUCCACCGAGAUCCAGUUUUGUCAUCGUACCGUCGGCGCUUCAAGCAAACCCGUCCUUCAGCUCUAACUACUCUUGAUUCACCAUGCUCCAGCCGCCGCCGUUGAGCCAAGCAAGAAUCUACCAUCUUCACUGCCGCCAUUGUUGAGCCAAGCAAGAGUCACUGAAACCGGGAGAUGCUCGGUACAUCUGUCUGAUGGAGUCAGAUCUGAUGGAGUCCAUGGUUAUGGCUCCCAGCCUUGUAUCCUGUAAAUCAGCAUAGUUAAAACGAUUUAACAUGUAGAAAGAGAUGGAGGGAGAUAUCGUGUGAUAAGUAGAUGCAAAAGACUUUGAGUUUCAUCCACAUAAGAGGGCCAUUAUAUAUAUAGCAACUUAGCUUGAAAGUGAAGCCAAAUAAUCCAACUUUAAUGGGGUGAAUUCACUGAAAUGCGUUACCGACAGCAGUUACUCGGCCAAGUUAAGGCGGUGGAAG